rnacentral:lncRNA from 1 species
CCUGCUCAUAGACCAGGCACUAAGGACAAUUCUAAGGCCCAGRGAUCCCUUGCGGCCAAAAAGUGGAGGUGGAGGCAGCAUUGCAACCUGCAGAAAAAUGCCUUAGUCUAGAAACAAAGCCAAGAGGAGGAGGUUGUUUCUAUAACAUAAAAAGUUGUUGCUUUUUAUGCUUCAGAUUCCUGUUCUACAGCAGAAAGCUACUUCACAAAUUCGACAGGAUGGUUUUAAAAAACCUACAGAAAAGCUGUCAUUUCAUUCCCUGGAUUUUUACUGUAGAAUGAGCUUUUGCAGAGGACUGUGAGCUGUAAUGGAAGGAUUCAAUGCCAGGUUUUUGGCGGUAGCAGACGGGGAAGAGGAACUACCACAUGCAGAAAAAAAAAGUCGAAGAAAAUGUUCCUCACAUAUGGAGGGUGGGGAAGGAGAGAAGAUAAUGUUGCCAAGGUAACAUUGCUUGAAGAUAAGUAUUUUUAAAUCUGUGAAUUUAGCAUUCAAAACACAGUUGUGUUUCCCACAAAAAGAUUUGGGGGAGGGCUGGAGUGGAAAAAUCUUUUCCCUUACUUUUCAGGUCGUUCCUUUUUCUUUUAGAGGAGCCAGAACCCAAGAUAAGUGAAGUAAGUGCAAUUACUCUGAUGCUAACACUCCUGCAAAGAAAAGAUUUGUUUUGAAGAGGCAAGGAGCGCCAGUCAUAGUUCUGUAUCUGCACCAACAUCUCUAGCACAAACAUCGAUCAUCUCUUUAAUGGGGAAAGCAGUUUAACUAGAUCAGCUAGGCCACUAAAGAGUCGCAAGGACAAAUCUUGCAGCAUUCCAGGCUAAAUCCAGUGUAAGUCAGAGCACAAACUUAAUUAUAGUUGAUACUCAGAUGUCUGAGUGAUUUGAGUCGUGAUAAGGUAACUGAGGCCUUUGGCUGUGGACAGAGAGAAGACGCAGGAUUCAAAGUGAAAAGAAAGGGCAGAGGAGCCAGGUAAAAUGUGGCCCUGGGAAGUGUUUUGUUACCCCAGCUUCUACAGUGAAACAUCGCUGCAGCUGGGCAAGUGAUCCUCCAGUGACACUAUUAGGCAGAAAACAUUUGCUCUUUAUACGGGGCAUCGGUGCUGGGGCCGCCUCCAAAUCUCUGCAGCUUCUGUGCCCAAGUCCCCGCAGCGCUGGGCUCCUCACUGGCACGCAGGCGCUGGCACACUCCGCUCCCACCUCCCCGCUGGAGCCAGGCAGGGAAGGGAGGUUGCCCCCCGCGUGGCAGGUUGGCUUGGGAGCGUCUCCUGGCUGUGAGAGGUGGCCAUCCUGCUUCUGCAGGCUCUCCCAGGAGCCCGAAUGGGGGAAGGGGCCUUGGGAGGAGAAGAACCAGCUGUGUGAGUUAAUGGGAGCUGACAGAGAUGUCUGCAAGAAUACCCCAUUGCGUACCAUGGAAAAUCAGCCAGAGCAGGACCAAUGGAGGCAGCUGCCCCACUUUCAUUGCUGAGUAGGGUAUUGGGGAGCAUGGAGGAUGUCUGAAGCACUUAGUCCUUCCACCAUGCGGAGUUCACAUUAAAUUUGCAGGAGCCUGCACCUUCAUUUGAUGUUAUCACUCUUGUAAAAGAAAAGAGCAAAUUCACUGCUUGGUAACAGACCGCUCCAAAUUAACUUCAAGUGUGAGCCUGGGCCUGAAAACCUUUGUGUGACUAUGACUAUUAUUUAUGCUGUGUGAUUGCAAUGAUAUUCAUAUAAUAGCCUGGCACAGUGGCACUUAAGUCUUAGUUGUGGCUUGUAUGCAUUCAAAACCAAAUUUUCAAAGCUGUGUAGUUAUUUAGAUUUUGAAUAUCUCAUUAAGCAUGUAGUUGACUAUUUAAGUGCCUAGAUGUCUUUGCAAUUCUAGUAUUGCUAUAAUGCAAAGAAAAAGGAAAUGAUGCAGGGAGGUUGCUGGAUCAGGCCUCCGGUUUCAUAUCCCAGCAGAGAUAACUGCGUAGGGCCUGUUGCUAUUUAUAUCAUCGUUCGUAGUGAACCUCUUUUGUGCUUGAAGCACCUUGAUGAUGACUUUUACAUAGUAGAGAUAAAAAUUCUGCAAACCUACAUCCUGCAGUAGCCUUUAUAUAUUUUAUAGCUGUACUGUGCCAGUGUGGUAAUCACAUUUUCUCAAUUACCCUUAAGAACUGGAAUUCCUUAUCACCUCUGUGUUUCUUUCUCCCACUACUGCCUGGGUCUUGAAAUUGUCAUCACAGCUGAAAAUCCUCAUUCGGUAAAUUAAACUGUGAUAUAAGAAAAAAAUUUACACUGCAGCCUCCUCAUAAAGCUCCACCAAGUCUUUUGCUGAUGUGACUCACUCAAUUACUCAUGUGGGCAGACUUUCAGAUAAUAAAAGUAGUUAAUGGAAAGCA